AACGUAGGAGACAAACGUUAUCCGGAGUUACUGGGCGUAAAGGGCGUGUAGGUGGUAGAGUAAGUCUGGCGUGAAAUUUUCGGCUUAACCGGGAAAGGUCGUCGGAUACUGCUUAACUAGAGGACGGUAGAGGCGUGUGGAAUUCCGGGUGUAGUGGUGAAAUGCGUAGAGAUCCGGAGGAACACCAGUGGCGAAGGCGACACGCUGGGCCGUACCUGACACUGAUGCGCGACAGCAUGGGGAGCAAACAGG
rnacentral:rRNA from 1 species